GUAGCCUUGGAUACGGCUGCAUGGGGGUGGGAGGCCUGUGAGAGGCCUUUGUCCCCCGAGACUCUGUGGAAGGAGGCCAUGGACAGCUGGCUUCUGGGCCCGCCACGGAGAGGAAAGGGAUGGUAAGGGACUGAACCAGGUGUGGAUCCACUGUAGCAAGCGUCCCCUCCAACACCGUUGCUGUUGUGUGGCAAGCAAACUUGUGCAGAAAAACCAAGUGGAGACGUUUCUAGGCUGAAAAAAACUGAGGAACCAAGGUGCCUUGGCGUCAAGAAGAGUCUGGAUGCCGGAGUCCAUGUUGUGGCUAAGGACCCAGGAGGGAAGAGGAAGUGGAAACAGCGCGCAGCCCCAACAUAAACUAGAAACGCGAUUUCCAUGCGAGGAAGGGUGGAGGAGGCAGGCUCUGAACUUGAACACUUUCACAAUGAAAAGAAUCCCUGCCCGAAGGGCCAGAAAACGUUCUCUGGUGUAGACGAUCUCCAUCUGGCGGGGAGACCCGCACUGUUAGGACCCUCUCCAGGCGGUGCACCUGGGAUAAACCCAGAGGACUCACUAGGUCGCAGCUACAGCGUGGACUCUCGUCUGCUCCAUCCCCACCAAGCUGGUUUUCAGUCAUUGGAAGGGAUGAGAGGGGCAGCAGGAACCACCCACAGUUUUCACACUUUUGAAAGAAAAGGGUACCUGUACGGGAGCCAGGAUAUGUUCACACUGGGAAAAUUCUAUGCUGUGUACUAAUCCUGGCUCUGUGUUGGCUAUGACUUUGUAUUGGUGCCAAGAUGGAAGAUGGAGACUGUCUUGCCUGAUGGCCAGCAACUCACGGGAUUCAGAGAGAUGCUACUGUCUUAAGAUGCCUCGGGAUGCUGCCGCGUGCAGUGAUUUCUCAACAAUCGCCAUCCAGCACUUCUAAAAGGUGGCGCAGGGACCAUCUUAUCACAGCAGAAAAGAGUUCUGUUUAUUUUGCUGAAAACUCCAAACACCAACCUAAGCAUUUGCACGACGACGCAUGGACUCCAAACUACGGAGUUUCUGACUUGGUCCUAAAAGAAAUAAAUAA